rnacentral:misc_RNA from 1 species
UGAGUCCUUAGCUGAAAAGGAUGGUCAGCAAGAUGUUGAAACCACAGAUGGUGACAUCCAAGUGGAAACUAAUGGAUCAGGUCAAUCACAGGAUAAACUCUCUGAACGGCUAAAUACGGGAAAUGAUAAUGAGAGUCAGAUAGAAGGGACAAACAAUAAGGAAAACCUCUCAGAAAUUUUAAAGCAGAUGAGGCUGGAAGAAGAUUCAUUAAAUGCCCUUCAUGUGGAAGGGAUUGGCACCUCCACAAAAGAAGAAUCUGAUGAAAGUGAGGUGGAGAAUACUGAGGCUGUUGAGGGCACGUAUGAUACGGCAAAGGAUGAA